GAUGAAGAACGCAGUGAAAUGCGAUAAGUAGUGUGAAUUGCAGACUUUAGUGAAUCAUCGAAUCUUUGAACGCACAUUGCGCCCCUUGGUAUUCCAUUGGGCAUGCCUGUUCGAGCGUCAUUUACCCCCUCAAGCCUCGCUUGGUGUUGGGUGCUUGUCUGUGCUAGUAGCGUGGACUCCCCCUAAAAGCAUUGGCAGCAGGUUGCCGGCCUCUUGCGCAGCACUUUGCGCUCCUUGCGGCUUUGGCGGCUUGACUUCCAUGAGAACCCCACUAUUUUGACCUCGAAUCAGGUAGGGAUACCCGCUGAACUUAAGCAUAUCAAUAAGCGGAGGA
rnacentral:misc_RNA from 1 species